CAGCUGGAGGAGUGGCAGAAUCCUAACAGGAGGGGCUCGUGGGGCCCUCCCCUUCACCUCUAAACUAUGCCUAUCGAUAGAUUCUGGGAGAGGGGAUCAUUGUCUUUAGUGGCAUGCUUACUGCUGAACCCACCAAGCUAUCACGGAUAGUUUCAAACCCACAGUCACACAGAUGGCCCCGGGGAAUCUCGGCGGGUCCCAAAACAACAUAGACAUGAGCAGUGAAGAACGUGCAUGAGACUUCCAGGGAGCCUAUCAUCUCUUCAACAACCUUUUCAAGAAAGCAUCCCCCCAGUCCUCCAAAGAGCCUUCUUCUCUCAUCUCAUUGGACGGAACUGGGUCACAUGACCGCUCUCCCACCGAGAGAGCUUGGGAAAAAAAUCCCUCAAAUCCCCGCUGCAUGUAGUGGUAUCCACUGCAGUCCAAACUGCUCAGGAAGCUGAGACUGGAAGAAGACCACUAGAGAGUCCGUACUGGGCAACAUAGUGAGACCUUAUCUGAAACAUAAAAUAAAAAAUAAACAAACAAACAAAAACCAUAAUGGGCAUGUGAUCUGGUUUAUCACCAUGGAAGUUAGUAUGCCAGUUCCUCGAAGAACUAAAAAUAGAGCUGCCAUAUGACUCAGACACACCGCUGCUAGGCUGGCAUCCACCUGGUGCACCGAGUCAGCGUGCCACAGAGGCAGAGGCACGUUCAUGUUUAUUGCUGCAUUAGUCAUGAGAGCCAAGACAGAGAACCAGGCUAGAUGCUCGUCAACAAAGGAACAGAGGAAGAGAAUGUGAUGUGUACACAAUGGAAUUUUAUUCAGCCUCGAAGAGGAAUGAAAUCAUGACACAUGCUGGAAAGUGGAUGGAACUGGGCAUGAUCAUAGGCAAAAGAAGCCUCAGAAAGACAAAUUCAACUAUUUUAUGGCUGCUUUAUCCUGGCCCUCAGGUCCUAGUGUGUAGACAGAAACCUUUUCGCCCACAGUUCAGAAGCUUCAUCCCAGUGCAAUUGAAAAAGAUCCCAUCACCGACCCAGUCUUUACUUCAGACCUGACACAGAAAGCACUCAACAUGCACAUGUGGAAUCAACAAGUAGACACUGGACCGAUGAGUGCGUGAAGAAAAUGUCUUGGUCACGUGUGUUUUCACUCCAUCAGACGUGAGCAUCACCGGUCUUUUGCUUGAACUGCAAACCAAAAGCCUAAUCCCCAGCUGCUGAUGGAGCACUGGCCUAGUGUGCACAGUCCCGGGUUCCAUCCUCAGCUCCCUGCAAACAAACCUCUUGUCUUCUCUCCAUCUCUGCCUGAGACGGUCCGUUCUCAAACAACGCCACACACGUCUGAGUUAAAGGCUUCAGCAGCUUCGCAGACAUAGAAUCCAGCUUUCUCACUCCCAGCGCUCGCUCUCUCUCUCUCUCUCUCUCUCUCUCUCUCUCUCUCUCUCUCUCUUUUUUGUGUUGUUGUUGUUUAUUUGUUUGU